rnacentral:rRNA from 1 species
CAGUAGCCACGGUAAUACGUAGGUGGCAAGCGUUGUCCGGAAUUAUUGGGCGUAAAGGGCUCGCAGGCGGUUUCUUAAGUCUGAUGUGAAAGCCCCCGGCUCAACCUGGGAAUGGCAGUGGAUACUGGCAAGCUAGAGUGUGUCAGAGGAUGGUGGAAUUCCCGGUGUAGCGGUGAAAUGCGUAGGGAUCGGGAGGAACAUCAGUGGCGAAGGCGGCCAUCUGGGACAACACUGACGCUGAGGCACGAAAGCGUGGGGAGCAAACAGGAUUAGAUACCCCAGUAGUCCCUGUCUCUUAUAC